rnacentral:lncRNA from 1 species
AGAAAAAGACCCUCUAGGGGUCGAAACGUUGAUCGAUGCUUUUUGCACUUAGAUAAUACCACAAUAAAAGAAAAUAUUGUCAAGAAGUCCUCUGAGUGCUUCCACUACUCCGUGUGUGUAUAUAUUUAAUUUAUUUCAUUGGCUUGAUUUAUUGUGUGCUAAUAUCAGAUUAUGAAAGAAUGGACUGGAAUAACUCGUAUUUUCUAUUUAUUUUUAACUUUUUAUUUUAACAGGUUGGUCAUGGGGAGGAAGAAGAGGAAAGUGAUCUUUUCACUAUUCGGGAGGUGAGCUUCCAGCCCACAGGUGAAACAGACUGGAAGGAAAACAGCUACACCCUAAGCACAGAUUCUCUUGACUGGGUCAGUGCCAUUUAAAUCUUACACAAUAUUUGUGCAUCUAAGCAAAGUUAAUACUAUUGUAUUGAUGAUACUUACAGUUGUCCGUCUUCUCGACCUGAGCACCUACAUCUUUGCUCUCACUCAAUUCUUGUCUUAAAUGUGCCUUUUUCUGCCAUUGAACAUGGCAGGAGGGGAGAAAACCAGUGUUUCUCUUCUCCAUGUUUGCAUUGUGUGCACUGACUGUGCUGGACAUAACUGUGAUUGUCUUUUAAAAGGACAUUCAAGGUACCCAGAUCACUUCAUUUCAAUGAAGUGCCAUGUUCGUGCCUAACACUGCAAUCUAAAACAUAUCUGUUCUGCAGGAAUGGCAAUGUUGACAUUGCAGGAUUUAAAUGCCUCUAGUGCCUGUCACUCUGACAGCCAAUAGAGGAGCUUUGUCUGAAGUAGAAAUAGUUUCUCUAUCAGAUGGUCUCCUGUCAGUGCUAUAAAUGUAAAAGUGUGUGUCCCUUUAAUAUUGUAUAUAUUGUCUGUGGAGAGCAGGAGUCUUAAUGUGUCUAAUUUUUCUGAAUAUUCUAGAAAUGGAGGGGAAGCACUGUUCAUUGGAUACUCUUGCUAUGUAACGUUUAUUGAUUAUUAUUGGAAACUUUAUACUCUUGCUAUUCCUUCCAGAACCUUCAGAAGGAGUAAAAAACUACAAUAGUGUCCAUAAUAACUGAAAAACAGUACAUAUUGGCAGAAAAAUACAUUUUAGGGAGAGCGUUUUUUUUUUUAAACACUUUCCAUUCUCCAUUACCUUGUAUCCAAAUGUUUCCCAAUACUAAAUGAAAGAAAUUCAAGGAGUGUAAUUGACACUGACUUAGUUUGGUGUGGGGUAGGAGUGGUAACCGUUUUGUGUAUAUUUUACCAAAGUCUUCUGUGGGCUAUUUGUUUACUGUUGCACUUAUCUAUGGUGGCAGAGGGAGCUCAAGGCCAUUUCAUUAAAUAAAUCCAUUUUUUUUUUUUCUCUCCUCAGGCUCUAUAUGAUCACUUGAUGGAUUUUCUGGCUGAUCGUGGAGUGGAUAAUACAUUUGCUGAUGAGCUUGUGGAACUUAGCACUGCAUUGGAACAUCAAGAAUACAUCCGCUUCUUAGAAAAUCUGAAAAACUUUGUUAAAUGCUAAGGUGUUGUUCAGGAUAGGAAUCUUUUAUUUACCCAUAGAGUGGACCACACUUUCAGUUCUGCGUUAUACCAUUUUUGGUUCUUUAAUCUAUUGAUGGAACUACAGCAAAGAUAUGGAAACACUUUUUUGUGUGUUUCUUUAACUUGGCAAAAAUGGUAAGGCAAAAAAAUGUGUUCACAUAAACACAAGAGCUGAGUUGUGGUUACUGCAUAUAAGACAUGUUUAAUGUUUUAUUUCAUACAGUUUAGCAAUUUAAAAUCUUGUAAUAUCUGGAUAUUGCAACUACCCUUAUUUAAUCAUGCAGUAUGUGCUUCAUUGGACAAUCUUGUUUCAAACAAAUAUUGUAUUGUCUGCCAUUGUUGUAUUGUUUACAAUAUUGUUUUCUACAGAUCCCUAAACAAAUUAAAGUCAGAUUCUGUUAAUUGUUUUUACUUUAUUUCAUUUUGGUCUUUCCACUGACCGCAGCAUUAACACAAGAGUAGAUUAAUUUUAGAAUAGACCAAUAUUCCAUAGUUAGGCUAAGAUUAUGUGGGAAAUCAAAUGUUUACAUGCAUUUAAACUGGAGUUUGAUGACAAGUUGCCUACUUACUAACACUUGUGUUAAUCUGUAUAAACAUACAUUUCCUUGACAUAUCUAGAAAAACUUCUUACAUUUUAAGAACUUAUUCCAUUCAGCAAUUUUUUUAUUUUUCCUAAAGUGUUUUGACUAACGCUUGUACAUUUUAAAGACAAAUGCCACACCUCAUCUUGCUGGUUUUUAUACAAAAAUAAACAUACUUUUGAUUCCUACUAAGGACAAUAGUUUGUUUAUGCAAGGCAUUCUUAAAGGGAUCCUACAGUACCUCCCUCUACUCCCUCCCCACCCCCCCCGUGGCACUGAAACGUUAAAACCCUCUUAGUCACUUACCUGAAUCCAGUGCCGCUGGGUCAAGUGCUGCCCAUGCUGUUGACAGGGGAGACCUAAUGCUCAUGCGCGGCCAUUGUUUGCGCUCGCAUUAGGAUUUCCCCAUAGGAAAGCAUUAAUCAAUGGGGUUUUUUUUUUUUUUUUUUUUUCUAUGGGUGAUAAAGCUGACGCUGGAGGAAAUUAUGCAGGUCCGUUUCCAUUCCGGAAGCCCUCUAGUGGCUGUCUGGUAGACAGCCACUGUGGGCUGAAGUGUUCUGGGUGCCUACAGUGUCCCUUUAAACUCUCUUCAAUGUAUUUAUCUCUAAAACUUCCAAUGCUGGGCUAUUCUCAAAAUCAACAAAACUCUAAAUAAGGCUCUCUUUACAGGAAGUGUUUAUGGAAGGCUGUGCAAGUCACAUGCAGGGAGGUGUGACUAGGGUUCAUAAACAAAGGGAUUUAACUCCUAAAUGGCAGAGGAUUGAGCAGUGAGGCUGCAGGGGCAUGUUCAAUACACUAAAACUGCUUCAUUAAGCUAAAGUUGUUCAGGUGACUCUAGUGUCCCUUUAAUAAAAGAAAUGGAACAUUUUCGCUAUAAACAAAAUGUUAAACUUAAAGGACCACUCUAGGC